GACAGCAGUAGCCACGGUAAUACGGAGGGUGCAAGCGUUAUCCGGAUUUAUUGGGUUUAAAGGGUCCGUAGGCGGAUCUGUAAGUCAGUGGUGAAAUCUCACAGCUUAACUGUGAAACUGCCAUUGAUACUGCAGGUCUUGAGUAAAUUUGAAGUGGCUGGAAUAAGUAGUGUAGCGGUGAAAUGCAUAGAUAUUACUUAGAACACCAAUUGCGAAGGCAGGUCACUAAGAUUUAACUGACGCUGAUGGACGAAAGCGUGGGGAGCGAACAGGAUUAGAUACCCCGGUAGUCCCUGUCUCUUAUAC
rnacentral:rRNA from 1 species